CUACGGGGCGCACCAGUGGGGAAUAUUGCACAAUGAAGGAAACUCUGAUGCAGCAACGCCGCGUGGAGGAUGACACUUUUCGGAGCGUAAACUCCUUUUAUAUAGGAAGAAGAUGACGGUACUAUAUGAAUAAGCGCCGGCUAACUCCGUGCCAGCAGCCGCGGUAAUACGGAGGGCGCAAGCGUUACUCGGAAUCACUGGGCGUAAAGAGCGUGUAGGCGGAUUAAAAAGUCAGAAGUGAAAUCCUAUAGCUUAACUAUAGAACUGCUUCUGAAACUCUUAAUCUAGAAUAUGGGAGAGGUAGAUGGAAUUUCUGGUGUAGGGGUAAAAUCCGUAGAGAUCAGGAGGAAUACCGAUUGCGAAGGCGAUCUACUAGAACAUUAUUGACGCUGAGACGCGAAAGCGUGGGGAGCAAACAGGAUUAGAUACCCCUGUAGUC
rnacentral:rRNA from 1 species